rnacentral:rRNA from 1 species
ACAGGUGCUGCAUUGGCUGUCGUCAGCUCGUGUCGUGAGAUGUUCGGUUAAGUCCGCUAACGAGCGCAACCCUCGCCGUGUGUUAUACGUGUCACACGAUACUGCCGGUAUCAAGCCGGAGGAAGGUGGGGAUGAUGUCAAGUCAGCAUGGCCUUUAUAUCCUGGGCUACACACACGCUACAAUGGCAGAUACAAUAGGUUGCGAAACCGCGAGGUGGAGCCAAUCCUCAAAGUCUGUCUCAGUUCAGAUUGUAGGCUGCAACUCGCCUGCAUGAAGUUGGAGUUGCUAGUAAACGCAGGUCAGCUAUACUGCGUUGAAUACGUUCCCGGGGUUU